CCUACGGGAGGCAGCAGUGAGGAAUAUUGGGCAAUGGGCGCAAGCCUGACCCAGCAACGCCGCGUGGAGGAAUGAAGGCCUUCGGGUUGUAAACUCCUUUUGCAGGGGAAGAGGAAGGACGGUACCCUGCGAAUAAGUCACGGCUAACUACGUGCCAGCAGCCGCGGUAAUACGUAGGUGACGAGCGUUAUCCGGAAUUACUGGGCGUAAAGCGCACGCAGGCGGCUGAAUAAGUCUGACGUGAAAUCUCUCGGCUUAACCGGGAGGGUCGUUGGAGACUGUUCGGCUUGAGGCGAUGAGAGGGGUGUAGAAUUCCCGGUGUAGUGGUGGAAUGCGUAGAUAUCGGGAGGAAUACCAGUGGCGAAAGCGGCACCCUGGCAUUAGCCUGACGCUCAUGUGCGAAAGCGUGGGUAGCAAACGGGAUUAGAUACCCCGGUAGUCCACGCUGUAAACGAUGAAUACUAGGUGUGGGUGGUAGUAGAAUACUAUCGUCGCGACGACAACGACGCUAAGUAUUACCGUCCGUCGGGAGGUACGGCCGGCCGACGGACGUAAAACGUUAAAACGUAAAGUAAGUAGACGUCGUAGAGUUAGCGACGACGACGACGACGGAGGAGGAGG
rnacentral:rRNA from 1 species